AGACGCGUUGUUCCUCUCCGAAAUUGGUGCCGAAUAACCCACGAUUCGGCGCUUCCGGCUCUGUUAUUUGGCGAUUCGCCUCAGCUAUUCAUUCCGCUGCCGCAUGAUUCUUCUCCUUUUCCCCGUCGCUGCCCUCGGCUCUUCUUGUCCUUGAUUGAGCCGUAGUGAUUGCGGUUAAAGGUUCCGGGUCAUAAAGAAUCGAUGGAGGAGACCGCAAAGAUGGAGAGACAUCUACCGAUUCUUAUACCUUUGACGCAA